AUCCCUCUCUUUCUCAAUUUCUAUCCUACUCUUCUCAAUCUGCAUCUCACGCCUUCGAUCCCUAACACUCCUUUGAACAACAGCCGCAAGAAAUCCAUCAAGCCAACCCGUGCUCAGUCGUCGUUGAACCCAACACUGUGAUCCCUCGUGCUCAACGUUGUUGUCGUCGAACCACCACGUGCCCAACCUUGUCGUCGUUGAACCACCACUAGAAGAAAUCCAUCGUCGUUGUGCUCGCCACCACCGUAAACCCACCCAUGCUCAGUAGUCAUCGAACCCACCACUGCUUUUGUGCUUGCCACUAGAAGGUCCGUCCCAACCAUCGCCAUCACCGUGCUCAGCCGUAUCUAUCUCAUAAUCUUGGAUCUGGUUAAAGCUCGUGGCCAGAUCUGCAUUCAAAGCGCCGCUCAUUGAACGCCUUGAACGAUUCUGAAGUUGCCCAUUGAAUUCAAUGUUGGCAGUUUGUCCAUUGAAUACCUUGAACGAUUUCCAACUGAAGAUAUUCUCAUUAGAGAUGGUAUUUCUUCCAAAGACUUUGUAAUUGAUCUAUUUUCGCUCACAUUUGUUCGAUUUAACAGUAGUGAAGUAUGUCGAUCUCAAUGUUGGCAGCAUCCUAAUGUUAUUCCGAUGUGAAGAAGAAAGUGAAUGAUGCAGAUAGAAGUUAAAGCACCUUGAAGAAAUGACUCCUCUAGCAUACUACAACGUGGAAGACAAAGACAUAUAUCAAUUAUUACAAAUAUCAAACUUAAGUUAUAAAAGGUUAGAGCACCUUGAAGAUAUUUUAAUCUUUUGGAUGCGAUGAAGCUUUACAACUAAUAGUCACUGAGUUCAUCUCCACUUUUGAAGGGCAUAUUUUGCUGGUAGUCUACUGAAAUAUAGACCACUCACUUCAAAGUUUAAAGAACCCAUUUGAAAUCAAGCUCCAAAUUUCGUACAAGUGAUAGUACCUGAGAUCUCAACAAGAGGCUACAAUAUAGUACAUAAAGUCUUUUAAAAUGAGGUCUAUACUUGAUGAAUACUCAUAAUGGAUAACUGAUGUUCGCUUUAGCCCAAGGACAUUAAAGGAUCGCAACACUUCAGGAAAAGGGAAGGCCUUUAAUAACACUACAGUGAAGCAUAGAGUGAAGCGGUCGAUUAAGGUGCCCACGAUUAGUAACAAGCUAGCAGAUAUGAUGAUUAUUCAUGGAGGAAAUAUGGCCAAAAGCCAAUCAAGGGUUCUCCACACCCAAGAUAAUUGAAGUCAUAUCGGGUUGAAUGCUAAGCGAUUGUGCAGAGAUGGCCAAGCGAUAUUUGAAAAUUGAAGACUGAGAAGGCAUUUAGGAUUUUUAAUUAUUUAAUUCUUGUAUUAGAAUUUUUUUCAUGUACUAUUGUAGAAUGUAUAUAUAAAAAUAAUAUUAAGAUUUUAUUUUGUGUAUUCAAAUGUAAAAGACAAAUAUUAUAGUUUCUAACAUAAUAUGAAUUUCAUUGA